rfam:Clostridium formicaceticum strain ATCC 27076, complete genome.
CUGUGCUAGACGGGGAGGUAGCGGUGUCCUGUAACCUGCAAUCCGCUAUAGCAGGGUUGAAGUCCUCUUAGAGGCACAUUGGUUGUAGGGCUGGCUUAAGUAAGUGAUGAUGAUAGUUGGGUCCUACGCAACGGAAAGUCAUGAACCCCGCCAGGUCCGGAAGGAAGCAACGGUAAGUGAUCCCUUUCGUGUGCCGUAGGGCAGCCUAAUUUGAGUUAACUGCUUGGGUAACGCCUAUGACGGUAUGUCGAAGAGAGGUGCACAG